rnacentral:rRNA from 1 species
ACGAUGGAUAGGGGUUCUGAGAGGAAGGUCCCCCACAUUGGAACUGAGACACGGUCCAAACUCCUACGGGAGGCAGCAGUGAGGAAUAUUGGUCAAUGGGCGAGAGCCUGAACCAGCCAAGUAGCGUGAAGGAUGAAGGCUCUAUGGGUCGUAAACUUCUUUUAUAUGGGAAUAAAGUUUUCCACGUGUGGAAUUUUGUAUGUACCAUAUGAAUAAGGAUCGGCUAACUCCGUGCCAGCAGCCGCGGUAAUACGGAGGAUCCGAGCGUUAUCCGGAUUUAUUGGGUUUAAAGGGAGCGUAGGUGGAUUGUUAAGUCAGUUGUGAAAGUUUGCGGCUCAACCGUAAAAUUGCAGUUGAAACUGGCAGUCUUGAGUACAGUAGAGGUGGGCGGAAUUCGUGGUGUAGCGGUGAAAUGCUUAGAUAUCACGAAGAACUCCGAUUGCGAAGGCAGCUCACUAGACUGUCACUGACACUGAUGCUCGAAAGUGUGGGUAUCAAACAGGAUUAGAUACCCUGGUAGUCCACACAGUAAACGAUGAAUACUCGCUGUUUGCGAUAUACAGUAAGCGGCCAAGCGAAAGCAUUAAGUAUUCCACCUGGGGAGUACGCCGGCAACGGUGAAACUCAAAGGAAUUGACGGGGGCCCGCACAAGCGGAGGAACAUGUGGUUUAAUUCGAUGAUACGCGAGGAACCUUACCCGGGCUUAAAUUGCAACAGAAUAUAUUGGAAACAGUAUAGCCGUAAGGCUGUUGUGAAGGUGCUGCAUGGUUGUCGUCAGCUCGUGCCGUGAGGUGUCGGCUUAAGUGCCAUAACGAGCGCAACCCUUAUCUUUAGUUACUAACAGGU